GAUAUGGUCAUAUAUGAAACUUGC
rnacentral:siRNA from 1 species